UACGAAGGGGGCUAGCGUUGCUCGGAAUCACUGGGCGUAAAGCGCACGUAGGCGGACUUUUAAGUCGGUGGUGAAAUCCUGGAGCUCAACUCCAGAACUGCCUCCGAUACUGAGAGUCUUCGAGUCCGGGAGAGGUGAGUGGAACUGCGAGUGUAGAGGUGAAAUUCGUAGAUAUUCGCAAGAACACCAGUGGCGAAGGCGGCUCACUGGCCCGGUACUGACGCUGAGACGCGAAAGCGUGGGGAGCAAACAGG
rnacentral:rRNA from 1 species